GGGGAAUAUUGCGCAAUGGGGGAAACCCUGACGCAGCAACGCCGCGUGAAGGAUGAAGGUUUUCGGAUUGUAAACUUCUUUAGUCGGGGACGAAGAAAUGACGGUACCCGAAGAAUAAGCCACGGCUAACUACGUGCCAGCAGCCGCGGUAAUACGUAGGUGGCAAGCGUUGUCCGGAAUUACUGGGUGUAAAGGGCGUGUAGGCGGGAAGAUAAGUCAGAUGUGAAAUUCCGGGGCUCAACCCCGGCACUGCAUCUGAAACUAUUUUUCUUGAGUGCUGGAGAGGAAAGCGGAAUUCCUAGUGUAGCGGUGAAAUGCGUAGAUAUUAGGAGGAACACCAGUGGCGAAGGCGGCUUUCUGGACAGUAACUGACGCUGAGGCGCGAAAGCGUGGGGAGCAAAC
rnacentral:rRNA from 1 species